CACGUAGGGUGCGAGCGUUGUCCGGAAUUAUUGGGCGUAAAGAGCUCGUAGGCGGUGUGUCGCGUCGGCCGUGAAAACCUGCAGCUUAACUGUGGGCUUGCGGUCGAUACGGGCAUCACUGGAGUUCGGCAGGGGAGACUGGAAUUCCUGGUGUAGCGGUGAAAUGCGCAGAUAUCAGGAGGAACACCAGUGGCGAAGGCGGUUGCCUGGAGCUUUGCUGACGCUGAGGCGCGAAGGCCAGGGGAGCAAACGGG
rnacentral:rRNA from 1 species